rnacentral:rRNA from 1 species
AGUGAACGCUGGCGGUAGGCCUAACACAUGCAAGUCGAACGGCAGCACAGUAAGAGCUUGCUCUUACGGGUGGCGAGUGGCGGACGGGUGAGGAAUACAUCGGAAUCUACUUUUUCGUGGGGGAUAACGUAGGGAAACUUACGCUAAUACCGCAUACGACCUACGGGUGAAAGCAGGGGAUCUUCGGACCUUGCGCGAUUGAAUGAGCCGAUGUCGGAUUAGCUAGUUGGCGGGGUAAAGGCCCACCAAGGCGACGAUCCGUAGCUGGUCUGAGAGGAUGAUCAGCCACACUGGAACUGAGACACGGUCCAGACUCCUACGGGAGGCAGCAGUGGGAAAUAUUGGACAAUGGGCGCAAGCCUGAUCCAGCCAUACCGCGUGGUGAAGAAGGCCUUCGGGUUGUAAAGCCCUUUUGUUGGGAAAGAAAAGCAGCAGGUUAAUACCCCGCUGUUCUGACGGUACCCAAAGAAUAAGCACCGGCUAACUUCGUG